UAAGGUUCUUACAGAUCCAUCCCUAUCUCCUAAAAAAACAUUUAAAAAAAAAAACACAGGAAGAGGUUGUUGCCAGGAGUGCAUGAAUACUUGCGACAACGCACAUCUACUCGACACCCUCUUAAAGAUAGCCAUUACAAAGCCAGUCCUGACAUAGGGAACUUCAAAUCUGCUGGCUGGAGUUAAUUGAGCUUGCUUAAAAUCUGACGCCUUUAUGAUCUCAGACCUUCCACUGGGCAAGGAGUAAUGUGGCUGUAGCCUGU
rnacentral:lncRNA from 1 species